rnacentral:rRNA from 1 species
GACGAACGCUGGCGGCGUGCCUAAUACAUGCAAGUAGAACGCAGUUGCGCACGGGUGAGUAACGCGUAGGUAACUGCCUCAUAGCGGGGGAUAACUAUUGGAAACGAUAGCUAAUACCGCAUACUGUGAGAUGGACCUGCGUUGUAUUAGCUAGUUGGGGAGGUAAAGGCCUACCAAGGCGACGAUACAUAGCCGGCCUGAGAGGGUGGUCGGGCAAACUGGGACUUAGACACGGGCCAGAGUCCUGCGGGAGGCAGCAGUAGGGAAACUUUGGCAAUGGGCGGAAGGCUGGACGAGCAAAGCCGCGGGAGUGAAGAAGGGUGUCGGAUCGUAAAGCUAUGUUGUUAGAGGAGCGGUACCUAACCAGAAAGGGACGGCUAACUACGUGCCAGCAGCCGCGGUAAUUC